rnacentral:rRNA from 1 species
UACGAGUGCCCCCAAGCGUUAUCCGGAAUCAUUGGGCGUAAAGGGUGUGUAGGCGGUUGUGUUAGUCUUCUGUUAAAACUUCGGGCUUAACCCGAAGCUUGCAGUGGAAACGGCACGACUCGAGGAUGCGAGAGGUGAAUGGAACUCAUGGAGUAGGGGUGAAAUCCGUUGAUAUCAUGGGGAACACCAAAAAGCGAAGGCAAUUCACUAGCGCAUUUCUGACGCUGAGACACGAAAGCGUGGGUAGCGAACGGG